rnacentral:rRNA from 1 species
GAUGAACGCUGGCGGCGUGCCUAAUACAUGCAAGUCGAGCGAACAGACGAGGAGCUUGCUCCUCUGACGUUAGCGGCGGACGGGUGAGUAACACGUGGAUAACCUACCUAUAAGACUGGGAUAACUUCGGGAAACCGGAGCUAAUACCGGAUAAUAUAUUGCACCGCAUGGUUCAAUAGUGAAAGACGGUUUUGCUGUCACUUAUAGAUGGAUCCGCGCCGCAUUAGCUAGUUGGUAAGGUAACGGCUUACCAAGGCGACGAUGCGUAGCCGACCUGAGAGGGUGAUCGGCCACACUGGAACUGAGACACGGUCCAGACGCCUACGGGAGGCAGCAGUAGGGAAUCUUCCGCAAUGGGCGAAAGCCUGACGGAGCAACGCCGCGUGAGUGAUGAAGGUCUUCGGAUCGUAAAACUCUGUUAUUAGGGAAGAACAGAUGUGUAAGUAACUAUGCACGUCUUGACGGUACCUAAUCAGAAAGCCACGGCUAACUACGUG